GACUCGAAUCUCAGAGUCCAUAAAAUGCUCUCUGACCUUUUCUUUGUGUACCUCUUGGAGUCGACUCUUACUACCCUGGAGUCGACUCGUUGAACAUUGGAGUCGACUCGCGCACUUCAAGAGUCGACUCGUUGACAGGUUCUGAGAUGAGGUUUUCUGUUCUUCUUUCUGUUCUCAGUCGGAGUCGACUCGUACUAGUCUGGAGUUGACUUGAGCUCGUGCCAGUGAACUUGAUACGCUUGGAGUCGACUCGUGAUACUCGGGAGUCGACUCGAGUCUCAGACUUUGGUUCAGCAGACUUCUUAACUUAUCCAAAAUACUAUGAACCAAAUCUAGAGACACUUGGACAGGAUUUUCACUGAAACACUCAAUUGAAUUCAUUAGUAAUCACAAGAUAUACUCAAAUGCUUUGAGCUCAUCAAAAUCAAAUGGGGUUUUAAUCAAUCACUCCACAAU
rnacentral:lncRNA from 1 species